rnacentral:tRNA from 1 species
GCACUAGUAGCUCAGAGAUAAGAGCGCCGGUCUUGUAAACCGGAGGCCGAAGGUUAAAUCCCCUCCUGCUGCA